CGUGUAGGCGGGUUUACAAGUCAGAUGUAAAAGGCGACGGCUUAACCGUAGUAUGUCAUCUGAUACUGGUUGUCUUGAGUUCGAGAGAGGGUGGUGGAAUUCCCGGUGUAGCGGUGAAAUGCGUAGAUAUCGGGAAGAACACCAGAAGCGAAGGCGGCCACCUGGAUCGACACUGACGCUGAGACGCGAAAGCGUGGGUAGCAAACA
rnacentral:rRNA from 1 species